ACAUUUUGAAGUAAAGAUGGACUUGAUUUCAGUUUUCUGGUUUUUCUUUACAAAUAUACAAAAUACUGUAUUUCAUCACAACUCUUAUUUUGUCUUCACAGUUGCCAAGAGAUUUGACAUUCCCACCUUGGACUUAAAAGUCUUUGAUGUAACAAAGGCUGAAGUUGAUGAGGAGGUGUUUGAGUUUCUAAUACAGAAACAAGACCUUGGUGUCCUGGAGAUUUGUUUGCCUCAAGAUCCAAAUGAUUCGUUAAGCUCCUCUGCAAGCACCUCCGUUACAAGCUACAGCGAUGUGGACUCUGAUGACACCAUCAUACUGCAGCGUAGUCCUGCCUCUACAAAGAGAGAAGAGGAUAGUCGUUUAGCCAAAACAUUCUGAAGAACAAACCUGGUGGAGAGAGGAUCAUGAAGUAUGCUCGGACUAAAAGUCUAACAGAUGCCAGGAGAAGAUGGUCAAGAUAUUGGUUGCACAAAUGACAAGUGAUCAUGGGACAAGUCCUUCAAGUCGUGUUAAAGAGGAAUACGCAAAGGGCAUCACUUCCUUGUUCCCAAACAAGUCUGGCUUUGUAA